rnacentral:rRNA from 1 species
CAGCCGCCGCGGUAAUACGGAGGAUCCGAGCGUUAUACGGAAUUAUUGGGUUUAAAGGGUGCGUAGGCGGAUAGAUAAGUCAGUGGUGAAAGACGGUGGCUCAACCAUCGCAGUGCCGUUGAUACUGUUUAUCUUGAAUAUGGAUGAGGUAGGCGGAAUGUGGCAAGUAGCGGUGAAAUGCAUAGAUAUGCCACAGAACACCGAUUGCGAAGGCAGCUUACCAAGGCAAAAUUGACGCUGAGGCACGAAAGCGUGGGGAUCAAACAGGAUUAGAUACCCGAGUAGUCCCUGUCUCUUAUAC